GGGAAGUCAAAAAAGAGAAAUAAGAUGCAAUUAAGAUGUAUGGAGUGUAUAAUUUUGUUUUGUAUUUGAAAACAUAUAUAUAUAUAUAUAUAUAUAUAUAUGUGUGUGUGUGUGUGUGUGUGUGUGUGUGUGUGUGUGUGUAUAUGUUGGCAAUUCAAAUCCCCAUUACAGGGUGAGCACCCCUUGUUCAGUCCCA